AACUUCAUCAAUUGCAAAAUUGAUCAUUUGAAUAAUAUCAAGGCCGAUGGAAUUAUUUGGAGAAUGGAACUCAAGAAGCGCUACACCGUCGCCAAGGUCUAUCAAGCUUGCUCCGCUGUUCUUUUUAAUGACACCUUUUUGUUUUUUUAGAAGCUUAAGGUUGAUUAUUUUUGGAUUUUCUUCUAAAAGCUUAUAUUCACCGUUAUGGUAGAAGAAAACAUUUCCGUCUUCUUCUUUAUAGAAAGAAGAAAAUCCUUUUUCUACCAUUUCUUUCACCCAGACAGGUACUUCUUUUCCAGAUGCUUCGAACUUUUUCAAUGAUGUUUCAAGGCCGAUGGCAUCCCACGUUUCAAAUGGGCCUAAUUCCCAUCCAAAUCCCCACU
rnacentral:antisense_RNA from 1 species